UGCAGUCGAACGAUGAUCCCAGCUUGCUGGGGGAUUAGUGGCGAACGGGUGAGUAACACGUGAGUAACCUGCCCUUGACUCUGGGAUAAGCCUGGGAAACCGGGUCUAAUACUGGAUAUGACCUUCUGGCGCAUGCCAUGUUGGUGGAAAGCUUUAUUGCGGUUUUGGAUGGACUCGCGGCCUAUCAGCUUGUUGGUGGGGUAAUGGCCUACCAAGGCGACGACGGGUAGCCGGCCUGAGAGGGUGGACGGCCACACUGGGACUGAGACACGGCCCAGACUCCUACGGGAGGCAGCAGUGGGGAAUAUUGCACAAUGGGCGCAAGCCUGAUGCAGCGACGCCGCGUGGGGGAUGAAGGCCUUCGGGUUGUAAACCUCUUUCAGUAGGGAAGAAGCGAAAGUGACGGUACCUGCAGAAGAAGCGCCGGCUAACUACGUGCCAGCAGCCGCGGUAAUACGUAGGGCGCAAGCGUUAUCCGGAAUUAUUGGGCGUAAAGAGCUCGUAGGCGGUUUGUCGCGUCUGCCGUGAAAGUCCGGGGCUUAACCCCGGAUCUGCGGUGGGUACGGGCAGACUAGAGUGAUGUAGGGGAGACUGGAAUUCCUGGUGUAGCGGUGAAAUGCGCAGAUAUCAGGAGGAACACCGAUGGCGAAGGCAGGUCUCUGGGCAUUAACUGACGCUGAGGAGCGAAAGCAUGGGGAGCGAACAGGAUUAGAUACCCUGGUAGUCCAUGCCGUAAACGUUGGGCACUAGGUGUGGGGGACAUUCCACGUUUUCCGCGCCGUAGCUAACGCAUUAAGUGCCCCGCCUGGGGAGUACGGCCGCAAGGCUAAAACUCAAAGGAAUUGACGGGGGCCCGCACAAGCGGCGGAGCAUGCGGAUUAAUUCGAUGCAACGCGAAGAACCUUACCAAGGCUUGACAUGAACUGGAACAGCGCAGAGAUGUGUUGGCCGCUUGCGGCCGGUUUACAGGUGGUGCAUGGUUGUCGUCAGCUCGUGUCGUGAGAUGUUGGGUUAAGUCCCGCAACGAGCGCAACCCUCGUUCUAUGUUGCCAGCGCGUUAUGGCGGGGACUCAUAGGAGACUGCCGGGGUCAACUCGGAGGAAGGUGGGGACGACGUCAAAUCAUCAUGCCCCUUAUGUCUUGGGCUUCACGCAUGCUACAAUGUUAGG
rnacentral:rRNA from 1 species